UAUCCUUCUCACUAUUAAAAUGUAUCUUCUUUUUUUUUCUCACUCUCCCUCACUCCAUAUUCCUAUUUCAUUUCUGCACCCCCGCUGAGUCUCCUCUAUUAAAUGUGUGCUUUCUAACUUGGUCCAGAAUAAACACUAUUCCUUUGUCUUCCCUCUAUCCCUCAGCAUCACAUAUACAGUAGAGUCUCUCUUAUCCAACAUAAACGGGCCGGCAGAACAUUGGAUAAGCGAAUAUGUUGGAUAAUAAGGAGAGAUUAAGGAAAAGUCUAUUAAACAUUACAUUAGGUUAUGAUUUUACAAAUUAAGCACCAAAACAUCAUGUUGUACAACAAAUUUGACAGAAAAAGUAGUUCAAUACACAGUAAUGCUAUGUAGUAAUUACUGUAUUUACGAAUUUAGCACCAAAAUAUCAUGAUGUAUUGAAAAUAUUGACUACAAAAAUGUGUUGGAUAAUCCAGAACAUUGGAUAAGUGAGUGUUGGAUAAGUGAGACUCUACUGUAGUUAUUUCUGGAAUUCUACUAUUAAAUAUACUUUAAUGUUGACACAAGGGAUAUUGGCCUCUGCCUUAUCUAGGUCAAGAGGCAACAACCCAACUAUAAUGGACUUGUAUACCAAGUAAUAAACUUCCUGCUCACUAUCAGGGAAUUGGUCCCCAGCUGGAUCCCCACUGUGCCAACCCACUGUGCCAACCUACUUGUGGGUUCUCUAAAGAUGUCCUGGAUCUCUCGCACCUUAGUCCAGUCCAUUACCUCAUCCUCUGAACUUGUCAUCCCAUCCUCCUGAUUCUCAACCCCAUCAUCCCCCUCAAAGCCCUCAAAUGAGUCAUCAUCAAUAGGUUCCAUAAGUAUUUCCCGGAUCCACUUCCUUUGUGGCUCCUCAUCGGAGUCUUUCUGAUGAGUGGUCUUUCUUAAAUAUUUAAUAAAUUAAUUUGCCACAAACCAGGAAAACUUUGGUUUGUGGCAAAUUAAUUUGAUAGUGGGUUUAUUCCACUCCUUUUUAGAAGGCGCAGGAUAAACCCUUCACUUCUGCUGUCCAGUCAGCAGUCCUGUGAUUUUCCAGGCUAAAUUAGCCCAGAAAACUGCAAGAACAACAACCUCUUCCCCAAAAGCCCCCCA
rnacentral:lncRNA from 1 species